rnacentral:rRNA from 1 species
GAUGAACGCUAGCUACAGGCUUAGCACAUGCAAGUCGAGGGGCAGCAUGGUCUUAGCUUGCUAAGGCCGAUGGCGACCGGCGCACGGGUGAGUAACACGUAUCCAACCUGCCGUCUACUCUUGGACAGCCUUCUGAAAGGAAGAUUAAUACAAGAUGGCAUCAUGAGUCCACAUGUUCACAUGAUUAAAGGUAUUCCGGUAGACGAUGGGGAUGCGUUCCAUUAGAUAGUAGGCGGGGUAACGGCCCACCUAGUCUUCGAUGGAUAGGGGUUCUGAGAGGAAGGUCCCCCACAUUGGAACUGAGACACGGUCCAAACUCCUACGGGAGGCAGCAGUGAGGAAUAUUGGUCAAUGGGCGAGAGCCUGAACCAGCCAAGUAGCGUGAAGGAUGACUGCCCUAUGGGUUGUAAACUUCUUUUAUAAAGGAAUAAAGUCGGGUAUGCAUACCCGUUUGCAUGUACUUUAUGAAUAAGGAUCGGCUAACUCCGUGCCAGCAGCCGCGGUAAUACGGAGGAUCCGAGCGUUAUCCGGAUUUAUUGGGUUUAAAGGGAGCGUAGAUGGAUGUUUAAGUCAGUUGUGAAAGUUUGCGGCUCAACCGUAAAAUUGCAGUUGAUACUGGAUAUCUUGAGUGCAGUUGAGGCAGGCGGAAUUCGUGGUGUAGCCGGUGAAAUGCUUAGAUAUCACGAAGAACUCCGAUUGCGAAGGCAGCCUGCUAAGCUGCAACUGACAUUGAGGCUCGAAAGUGUGGGUAUCAAACAGGAUUAGAUACCCUGGUAGUCCACACGGUAAACGAUGAAUACUCGCUGUUUGCGAUAUACGGCAAGCGGCCAAGCGAAAGCGUUAAGUAUUCCACCUGGGGAGUACGCCGGCAACGGUGAAACUCAAAGGAAUUGACGGGGGCCCGCACAAGCGGAGGAACAUGUGGUUUAAUUCGAUGAUACGCGAGGAACCUUACCCGGGCUUAAAUUGCAGAUGAAUUACGGUGAAAGCCGUAAGCCGCAAGGCAUCUGUGAAGGUGCUGCAUGGUUGUCGUCAGCUCGUGCCGUGAGGUGUCGGCUUAAGUGCCAUAACGAGCGCAACCCUUGUUGUCAGUUACUAACAGGUUCCGCUGAGGACUCUGACAAGACUGCCAUCGUAAGAUGUGAGGAAGGUGGGGAUGACGUCAAAUCAGCACGGCCCUUACGUCCGGGGCUACACACGUGUUACAAUGGGGGGUACAGAGGGCCGCUACCACGCGAGUGGAUGCCAAUCCCCAAAACCUCUCUCAGUUCGGACUGGAGUCUGCAACCCGACUCCGCGAAGCUGGAUUCGCUAGUAAUCGCGCAUCAGCCACGGCGCGGUGAAUACGUUCCCGGGCCUUGUACACACCGCCCGUCAAGCCAUGGGAGCCGGGGGUACCUGAAGUGCGUAACCGCGAGGAGCGCCCUAGGGUAAAACUGGUGACUGGGGCUA